rnacentral:rRNA from 1 species
UAGGGAAUAUUGGACAAUGGGGGCAACCCUGAUCCAGCCAUGCCGCGUGAGUGAAGAAGGCCCUCGGGUUGUAAAGCUCUUUUGUCCGGAAAGAAAAGCAUUCGGUGAAUACCCGGAUGUUCUGACGGUACCGGAAGAAUAAGCACCGGCUAACUUCGUGCCAGCAGCCGCGGUAAUACGAAGGGUGCAAGCGUUACUCGGAAUUACUGGGCGUAAAGCGUGCGUAGGUGGUUGUUUAAGUCUGAUGUGAAAGCCCUGGGCUCAACCUGGGAAUGGCAUUGGAAACUGGGCAGCUAGAGUGCGGUAGAGGGUAGUGGAAUUCCCGGUGUAGCAGUGAAGUGCGUAGAGAUCGGGAGGAACAUCUGUGGCGAAGGCGACUGCCUGGACCAGCACUGACACUGAGGCACGAAAGCGUGGGGAGCAAACA